UACAGAGGGUGCGAGCGUUAAUCGGAAUUACUGGGCGUAAAGGGUGUGUAGGUGGUAUUGUAAGUUAGAUGUGAAAUCCCCGGGCUCAACCUGGGAACUGCGUUUAAGACUGCAAAACUAGAGUACUGUAGAGGAUAGUGGAAUUUCCAGUGUAGCGGUGAAAUGCGUAGAUAUUGGAAGGAACACCAGUGGCGAAGGCGACUAUCUGGACAGAUACUGACACUGAGACACGAAAGCAUGGGGAGCAAACAGG
rnacentral:rRNA from 1 species